GACCGCGCAGCUCAGUUGGCAGAGUAUUGGGCUAGUUUUCCAAAGGUCGUAGGUUCGAUUCCCACCGUGGCCA
rnacentral:tRNA from 1 species